GCGCAAGUGGCGGAAUUGGCAGACGCGCCGGGUUUAGGUUCCGGUGUCGAGAGACGUGGGGGUUCAAGUCCCUCCUUGCGCA
rnacentral:tRNA from 1 species